UGAGGAAUAUUGGACAAUGGGCGCAAGCCUGAUCCAGCCAUCCCGCGUGUAGGAUGACUGCCCUAUGGGUUGUAAACUACUUUUAUACAGGAACAAAUUGAGGUACGUGUACUUUAUUGAGUGUACUGUUUGAAUAAGCAUCGGCUAACUCCGUGCCAGCAGCCGCGGUAAUACGGAGGAUGCAAGCGUUAUCCGGAUUUAUUGGGUUUAAAGGGUGCGUAGGCUGCUUUUUAAGUCAGCGGUGAAAUUUUCGGGCUUAACCCGAUUCGUGCCGUUGAUACUGGAAGGCUUGAAAACAAAUGAGGCUGGCGGAAUGCGUAGUGUAGCGGUGAAAUGCUUAGAUAUUACGCAGAACUCCGAUUGCGAAGGCAGCUGGCCAAUUUGUAUUUGACGCUGAUGC
rnacentral:rRNA from 1 species